CCAAGGUGUCCCAGCAACAGGUUGUACCAAGGUCCUAGACAUGUGGAGUAGGUCAUCUUGGAUCUACCAGCUGCACCAAAACCACUCCAGCAGAUAUUAUAUAGAACACAGAACAUAAUCAUCUAUACCUGACUUUAUAUAUGAAGGAAGUGGCUGGACAAAGUCCCAAGGUUGAGACAGAGAGAAGAUAAUUUCUUCAAGCACCACCGUUGUCACUGCCGCCAUCCCAGGAUGACUAUCACCACCGCCAUCACCACCACCAUCAGCAACUUCGUCAUUGUCACCACAGAGUAAGAGCCACCAGCAACGCAGACCUGAGUCAACCCUGUAGACCAGUUCUAACUCAGCUCUCCCCAGGGGCCGUCAAGACAGUGGAGGUGACAAUGUGGAAGCAGCAGCAAGUGCCAAUUUAAAGUCACACUCUUCAAAUUCAUCUUUAGUACGGAGUGGGGAAAUGGUGAGGGGAAUCCCCACCACCACUGGCCACGAGUUUUCUACUAAGUCGGACUGUGUGUGCUGCCUAGAUACCACCUGAA